GGUGUAAGCAAAAAACAGCGAAUGAGCUUGGUUGCCUGCUUUCUCCAUGCUAAUACAACAGCUUGCAGAAACAAGAUCAAGGAAUUUAAAACAAAAAAUAAAUAGAAAGGUGUGUGUGUGCAUGUUCAUGUCUGCAUGUGUUAUGAUAGCACAGUUUAGAAAAGAGCACCGACCUAAGAUUCAGAAUUAGAGUAUAAUCCUGGCUUUUCU
rnacentral:lncRNA from 1 species